AUUGAACGCUGGCGGCAGGCUUAACACAUGCAAGUCGAGCGGGGUGAUGGUGCUUGCACUAUCACUUAGCGGCGGACGGGUGAGUAAUGCUUAGGAAUCUGCCUAUUAGUGGGGGACAACAUCUCGAAAGGGAUGCUAAUACCGCAUACGUCCUACGGGAGAAAGCAGGGGAUCACUUGUGACCUUGCGCUAAUAGAUGAGCCUAAGUCGGAUUAGCUAGUUGGUGGGGUAAAGGCCUACCAAGGCGACGAUCUGUAGCGGGUCUGAGAGGAUGAUCCGCCACCCUGGGACUGAGACACGGCCCAGACUCCUACGGGAGGCAGCAGUGGGGAAUAUUGGACAAUGGGGGGAACCCUGAUCCAGCCAUGCCGCGUGUGUGAAGAAGGCCUUAUGGUUGUAAAGCACUUUAAGCGAGGAGGAGGCUCUUUUGGUUAAUACCCAGAAUGAGUGGACGUUGCUCGCAGAAUAAGCACCGGCUAACUCUGUGCCAGCCGCCGCCGUAA
rnacentral:rRNA from 1 species